UACGAGGGGGGCAAGCGUUGUUCGGAAUUAUUGGGCGUAAAGGGCGCGUAGGCGGUGCGGUAAGUCACCUGUGAAAUCUCCUGGCUCAACUGGGAGCUUGCAGGCGAAACUGCCGUGCUGGAGUGUGGGAGAGGUGCGUGGAAUUCCUGGUGUAGCGGUGAAAUGCGUAGAUAUCAGGAGGAACACCUGUGGCGAAAGCGGCGCACUGGACCACAACUGACGCUGAGGCGCGAAAGCUAGGGGAGCAAACAGG
rnacentral:rRNA from 1 species